rnacentral:rRNA from 1 species
AUUCGCCCGCCGCGCGCGGCGGGCGGGGCGGGGGCACGGGGGGCCUACGGGAGGCAGCAGUGAGGAAUAUUGGUCAAUGGCCGAGAGGCUGAACCAGCCAUGCCGCGUGCGGGAGGACGGCCCUAUGGGUUGUAAACCGCUUUUGUUGGGGAGCAAUAAGUCCUACGUGUAGGACGAUGAGAGUACCCAGCGAAUAAGCAUCGGCUAACUCCGUGCCAGCAGCCGCGGUA